GCCUGGCGUGCUCUGGUCCAUGGGGUCACGAAGAGUCGGACACGACUAAACGACUAAACAACAACAAGCAUCCAAAAUGCAUAUGUAAAGUGUUAAUUGCAAGAGUUGUAGGACUCUGUCACACCAGACACCCUGUGACACUUAUGGCAGUUGGUACAGUUAUGGCAGUUGAACAGUCUUAACAGUUAGAGCGGCAGGUAUAAACUGUUAUGCUGCUGUCUGCCCCAGAGUUAGUCUGUAACUAUGUGUAAGGUGUCGUAGCAAUUUAGGAAACACCUACACCUGCAUUGUAUAUUUAACUUGCAACUGCAAGAAUACCAAGUAAAAGUUAUAUGCUCUUUUAAAAGUUUUUUAAAAGUGUCUUCCGUAGUUUUUUAUAGCAGGGGUAAAGAGAACCAAUUAAAGGGUCAAACGACCCAGGGCUGUCUUCUGCAUACUCCACAAAUGGGAACUACAAUAGAGUUUAAUUUCCACAGUGGCUGACCAGAUGUCUCUGGGAUGUUACUCAGCAGGGGGCGUUCAAAUUACACGGCAGAUGUGACCAAAGAGAUUGAAGAAACCGGUUUAGAAUCAAGGCUUAACCCAAAGAAGUCCACCAAAACGAAGAGGGAAAGUGAUGUGGAACUCUGAAGACUGGAAAAAUGAAAAAUAGAAAGAAGCCAAAAUUGACACAUUCGGUAAUUCCUACUGAAGACAUCCUCUGCUCAUUAAGCAGAAUCUUUGGUAUAAAAUAUGUAUAACAAAUGGUUUUUGGAUCUAGUUCUUUAAAAUAUUCCUCAGUGGCUUUCUGCUAUUAUAUCCGACUGCUUUUAAGUGGAAGUCUGUCUCUGUGACUUGAAAAGUAGCUUCUUUUGCAAGUUUUGCAGAUUUAACCUGCUGGGAAUUUCUGUACACACAGGAUAAUUUGGAGAUAAUUUGCUGUGAUUUGGGCAUCACAUUUUUUAUUCUUUAUGGUGCAGAUGCAUAUCAUGUAGUUUUUUUAAAAAAACGCCAUCAGAUUAUGUUAAUGUUAAGUUUUAUUUGUUUUUAUUUUCCCUUGGAAAUGUACAGUGGCAGUUUGGGUUGACAGUCACAUUUACUGCUCUAAACUGUCAUAGCAGGUUGACUCCACAAUAAAGUUUUGUUUGACUAAUACACUUAGCAAGCACCUCAGAGAGAAGCUCAUCAUGUGCCUGGGCAACUGGAACACAAACAGUCCUUUUUUUCUUAAAAAAAUAUGUUUAGGGGUACUCUCAUUUUCCUACUCAUAUUGAAAUACUGC